UUCCGUAAUAGAGGACCAGUAAGAAACUGCUGCCCUUGCUAAUCAGUUUUCCACUCAUCCUUAUAAAUAAACAAAUUCAAGAAGAAAGGGAAGGAAGUCGGAUAUAUUUCAGAAAUGCAUUGGACUUCCACCUACCGAGAGCACGUAUUUGAGCAUCCGACAUACCCCGAUCUGCAGCAUGAGAAGCAGCCCCUAUCCGAAAACUGUGACCCUUAUAAACAUUAGGGCUUAAA